rnacentral:rRNA from 1 species
UAGCAUAUCAAUAAGCGGAGGAAAAGAAACCAACAGGGAUUGCCUCAGUAACGGCGAGUGAAGCGGCAACAGCUCAAAUUUGAAAUCUGGCCCUUUCAGGGUCCGAGUUGUAAUUUGUAGAGGAUGCUUCGGCGAGGGCUCCCGUCUAAGUUCCCUGGAACGGGACGUCAUAGAGGGUGAGAAUCCCGUAUGUGAUGGGUUGCUCGAGCCAUGUGAAGCUCCUUCGACGAGUCGAGUUGUUUGGGAAUGCAGCUCUAAAUGGGAGGUAAAUUUCUUCUAAAGCUAAAUACCGGCCAGAGACCGAUAGCGCACAAGUAGAGUGAUCGAAAGAUGAAAAGCACUUUGGAAAGAGAGUUAAAAAGUACGUGAAAUUGUUGAAAGGGAAGCGCUUGCAACCAGACUUGUCCGCAGUUGUUCAGCCGGUCUCCUGACCGGCGUACUCUUCUGCGGCCAGGCCAGCAUCAGUUCGGGCGGUUGGAUAAAGGCCUCGGGAAUGUGGCUCUCUUCGGGGAGUGUUAUAGCCCGGGGCGGAAUGCAGCCAGCCUGGACUGAGGAUCUCGCUUCGGCAAGGAUGCUGGCGUAAUGGUUGUAAGCGGCCCGUCUUGAAACACGGACCAAGGAGUCUAACAUCUAUGCGAGUGUUUGGGUGUCAAACCCAUACGCGUAAUGCAAGUGCACGGAGGUGGGAACCCGCAAGGGCGCACCAUCGACCGAUCCUGAUGUCUUCGGAUGGAUUUGAGUAAGAGCAUAGCUGUUGGGACCCGAAAGAUGGUGAACUAUGCCUGAAUAGGGUGAAGCCAGAGGAAACUCUGGUGGAGGCUCGCAGCGGUUCUGACGUGCAAAUCGAUCGUCACAAUUUGGGUAUAGGGGCGAAAGACUAAUCGAACCAUCUAGUAGCUGGUUCUGCGA